rnacentral:lncRNA from 1 species
UUCUGUUUAAUCUUCAAAAAAUACUAUAUGUAAGUUUAAAAUAGAAACAAUUCUACAACAAUCAAAGCGUAAUAUGUUUUUACUUGUCUUGUUUUUAAAAAAUAAAUUUAUUCUGUUAUUCAUAUAAGUUCAAAAUCAUUUAUGAUUAAUACUCAAAUAAAUAAAUAAAUACAAUUUUAUGCGUCUUUUCAAAUGCACCAAUUAAUUUGUGCAAACUCCCAGUUUCAUCUGUUUAUCCCAUAAACAUGCAAAUAGAUCAUAUAUUCUUGAAAAAAAAUUACUACUAAAUUUAUUUUUUAGAAUUUUAUGAUCAACCUCAAGAUUUUAUUGAAAUUCAAAACAUGUACUCUUAAUUUUCAUUUUUAAACUACUGAUUUUUUUUAGAUUUUUUUAAAUAAAUAAAAAAUAAUUCUGGCUUUUUUU